rnacentral:rRNA from 1 species
ACAGAGGGCGCAAGCGUUAUUCGGAUUCACUGGGCAUAAAGAGCACGUAGGCGGCUACGUAAGUCGGAUGUGAAAUCCCGCGGCUCAACCGCGGAAUGGCAUCCGAUACUGCGUGGCUCGAGGUCGGAAGGGGUAAGCGGAACUCCAGGUGGAACGGUGAAAUGUGUAGAUAUCUGGAGGAACACCGGUGGCGAAGGCGGCUUACUGGUCCGAAUCUGACGCUGAGGUGCGAAAGCUAGGGGAGCGAACGGGA